UUAAUAAUAGUUUUGGAAAAAUAAAAUAUUGAAAUUAAAUAUUUUUAUAGUGGCUGGAACAUCACAAUGCUCAGUUGGAUUGAUUUUAAAAUCAAAUUGUCACAAGUUAACAUUUACAAAUCACAUUGGAAUAAACUUUUUCAAGAUUUAGCUCCAGAUGAGCAAAAUUUAGUUGCGCUAAGGUCUGGUGUUUCUUCUGUUUUGAUUAUUGACUUAUGCUUUCAUCAUCAAAAGUUCUUGAGAAGUUCCCUGUGUUUCAGAAUAAAUGCUGUGAUCCACUGUUAGUUCACAAAAGACCCUGCAAAGCAUCUCUAAGAGAAGUCACGUUAAGAACCAUAGCUUUAAACAACAGGAUCAGUAUUGUACCUGGUCAAAAAAUUUGUACAAAUGGCUUAGUCAAAUUAAAAGCUUCCACUGAAAUUAAUACUGAUAACAUUAAUAUUGCUGAUGAUUAAACAAAUGAAAGUAUAAAUAAAGAAAACAUAUUUAGUGUUCAACAAGAAGCUGAUAUAAAUAAAAACAGACAAGAACUUUCUGAUUGUCUUAGUAUAAUUGGUGUGUCACCAGUCAAUCUUCACGGAAAGCCAUUUGCAAAUCGUAUGAGUAUUGGGAAAAAAAGUUAAAACUAUUGCAAAAGUUUUCAAAGAAAAGUCAUCAAGUUCUUUAAAAAUUCCAUUGACAGAAGUUGACGUUUUUGAUAAUGAAUAUAUUCUUCAUUUAAAAAAGUGUUUCAAAUUAUCUAAUAAUAAAAUCUAGAUCUUUAGCAAAGAAGGAAGGAGUUCUUGCAGUUCCACAAACUAAGCGAGGUAAAAUGCUCCCUGAUCAAAUAAAUACUUUAGUGAAAAUUUUUCAUGAAAAUAAUGAAAACUCUCGCCAGAUGCCUGGUCAAAAGGAUUUUGUAAGUGUUAGUUGGAAAGUCCAUAUGCAAAAGCGACUACUUUUGUCAAGCUUAAAAGAGUUAUUUGUCUCAUUUAAAAUUCUAUAUCCACAUGUAAAGUUAGGUUUUUCAAAGUUUUGUAUUUUAAGACCUAAAUGGUGUGUUUUGCCAAACUCAUCAGGAACCCAUUCUGUGUGUGUUUGUAUCUAAAAUCAAAACAUAAAGUUAAUUCUCUCAUCCAUUAAAAUUGAUUACCACGAACUAUAUAAAUUUAUUGUUUGUGAUAUGCAAAACAAAGAAUGCAUGUUACAUCGAUGUACACAAUGUCCGAAAAAUACAUCUAAAUUAGAAAAAAAGCUAUUCAAACUAAUAGGACAGUUUGAGGAAGAAGAUACUAUCGAAUUUAACCAAUGGGUUACUAUUGAUAGAUCAGAUUUAGUUAUACAGCUUGUAACCAUACUAGAUUAUGUAAAUAUAUGGUGAUGGAAAAACUAGUCAAGCUAACAACGCAAUGCUACCUGAUGGCAGAAAAACUGCCAUCAGGUAGCGCAAUAAUUCUAGGAGAUUUUGCAUAAACUAUAGUUUUGUUGUGCAGGAUGAAGUACAAGGUUUCCAUUGGAAUAAUCUUCAGUGCACACUUCAUCCAGUGGUUGUGUACUAUAAAGAAAUUUAAGUGUUGCAUUCCACUUCAUAUUGCAUUAUAUCAGAUGAUAACUACUAACAAUCAUGAUGUACCAAUGGUUUACGAGGUAAAAAAAUCAAUCAUCAUUAACCUGAAGCAAAAAAUACCCAGCAUUGUAAACGUGGUCUACUUUUCUGAUGGCUGUUCAUCUCAAUAUAAAAACUGCAAAAAUAUAUUUAACCUAUGUCAGCAUAAAUCAGACUUUGGAAUAGAUGCAAAAUGGGUUUUCUUUGCAACCAACCAUGGAAAGCAACCUUGUGAUGGUAUAGGAGGAACAGUUAAACGGCUUGUAGCUAAUGCUAGUUUGCAGAGAAUUUCUACAAAUCAAAUAUUAAACUCACGUGAUAUGUUUACAUAUUGCACUAACAAAAUCAAAGGUAUAAACUUUAUUUUUAUUUCAUGUGAAAGUUUGAUAGAAACAAGAUUAUUACAAUCUGAACGAUUUAAAAAUGUAAAAACAAUACCAGGAAGAAGAGACUCGUGAAUUUAUUCCUGUAUGUCAUAAUGAAGUUAAGAUGAAAUACUGCAGUGAUGACACUAUCACUAUCUUGACCUACAUGUUUAAAAAUUGCGAGAUGCAAAGUGAUGUGCAAAGUUGACAUGGAAUUUUAAUUUAUGCACCAACAUGGCCCUUGAAUCUUAAAGACAUUUUCUUGCUUCCUUUUAUCAGUUAUUACUUCAAAUCGACAGUUUGCUUAUGUCUAUGAUAUGUAUAUGACAAUAUUUUGCAUUUAUUAAAAAAUAUUACCUAA
rnacentral:lncRNA from 1 species